UACGGAGGGUGCAAGCGUUAAUCGGAAUUACUGGGCGUAAAGCGUACGCAGGCGGUUUGUUAAGUCAGAUGUGAAACCCCCGGGCUCAACCCGGGAACUGCAGUCGAAACUGGCAGACUAGAGUCUUGUAGAGGGGGGUAGAAUUCCAGGUGUAGCGGUGAAAUGCGUAGAGAUCUGGAGGAAUACCGGUGGCGAAGGCGGCCCCCUGGACAAAGACUGACGCUCAGGUGCGAAAGCGUGGGGAGCAAACAGG
rnacentral:rRNA from 1 species